rnacentral:tRNA from 1 species
GCUUAAUUAAAGCAUAACACUGAAGAUGUUAAGAUGGGCUUAAUUAACCC